rnacentral:rRNA from 1 species
GACGAACGCUGGCGGCGUGCUUAACACAUGCAAGUCGAACGAAGUGGCGAACGGGUGAGUAACGCGUAAUCAACCUGCCCUUCAGAGGGGGCCAACAGUUGGAAACGACUGCUCAUACCGCAUACUGAAGGAGGGGAUUGCGUCUGAUUAGCUAGUUGGAGGGGUAACGGCCCACCAAGGCGAUGAUAAGUAGGCGGGCUGAGGGGAUGAACGGCCCCAUUGGGACUGAGACACGGCCCAGACUCCUACGGGAGGCAGCAGUGGGGAAUCUUCCGCAAUGGACGAAAGUCUGACGGAGCAACGCCGCGUGAGGGAUGAAGGCCUUCGGGUUGUAAAGCUCUGUUAAUCGGGACGCGGUACCGGAAUAGAAAGCCACGGCUAACUACGUGCCAGCAGCCGCGGUAAUUC